rnacentral:rRNA from 1 species
GAAAAGAUUGUGACUAAUAAUUGCAAUUCAUGACGGUAUCAACAGAAGAAGCACCGGCUAACUACGUGCCAGCAGCCGCGGUAAUACGUAGGGUGCGAGCGUUAAUCGGAAUUACUGGGCGUAAAGGGUGCGCAGGCGGUUCUGUAAGUCAGAUGUGAAAUCCCCGGGCUUAACCUGGGGAACUGCGUUUGAAACUACAGAGCUAGAGUGUGGCAGAGGGGGGUGGAAUUCCAUGUGUAGCAGUGAAAUGCGUAGAGAUAUGGAAGAACAUCGAUGGCGAAGGCAGCCCCCUGGGUCAACACUGACGCUCAUGCACGAAAGCGUGGGGAGCAAACAGGAUUAGAUACCCUGGUAGUCCACGCCCUAAACUAUGUCAACUAGUUGUCGGGCCUUAUUAGGUUUGGUAACGUAGCUAACGCGUGAAGUUGACCGCCUGGGGA